rnacentral:rRNA from 1 species
UGCAAGUCGAACGAUGAAGCCCUUCGGGGUGGAUUAGUGGCGAACGGGUGAGUAACACGUGGGCAAUCUGCCCUUCACUCUGGGACAAGCCCUGGAAACGGGGUCUAAUACCGGAUAACACUCUGUCCCGCAUGGGACGGGGUUAAAAGCUCCGGCGGUGAAGGAUGAGCCCGCGGCCUAUCAGCUUGUUGGUGGGGUAAUGGCCUACCAAGGCGACGACGGGUAGCCGGCCUGAGAGGGCGACCGGCCACACUGGGACUGAGACACGGCCCAGACUCCUACGGGAGGCAGCAGUGGGGAAUAUUGCACAAUGGGCGAAAGCCUGAUGCAGCGACCCCGCGUGAGGGAUGACGGCCUUCGGGUUGUAAACCUCUUUCAGCAGGGAAGAAGCGAAAGUGACGGUACCUGCAGAAGAAGCGCCGGCUAACUACGUGCCAGCAGCCGCGGUAAUACGUAGGGCGCAAGCGUUGUCCGGAAUUAUUGGGCGUAAAGAGCUCGUAGGCGGCUUGUCACGUCGGAUGUGAAAGCCCGGGGCUUAACCCCGGGUCUGCAUUCGAUACGGGCUAGCUAGAGUGUGGUAGGGGAGAUCGGAAUUCCUGGUGUAGCGGUGAAAUGCGCAGAUAUCAGGAGGAACACCGGUGGCGAAGGCGGAUCUCUGGGCCAUUACUGACGCUGAGGAGCGAAAGCGUGGGGAGCGAACAGGAUUAGAUACCCUGGUAGUCCACGCCGUAAACGUUGGGAACUAGGUGUUGGCGACAUUCCACGUCGUCGGUGCCGCAGCUAACGCAUUAAGUUCCCCGCCUGGGGAGUACGGCCGCAAGGCUAAAACUCAAAGGAAUUGACGGGGGCCCGCACAAGCAGCGGAGCAUGUGGCUUAAUUCGACGCAACGCGAAGAACCUUACCAAGGCUUGACAUAUACCGGAAAGCAUCAGAGAUGGUGCCCCCCUUGUGGUCGGUAUACAGGUGGUGCAUGGCUGUUGUCAGCUAGUGUCGUGAGAUGUUGGGUUAAGUCCCGCAACGAGCGCAACCCUUGUUCUGUGUUGCCAGCAUGCCCUUCGGGGUGAUGGGGACUCACAGGAGACUGCCGGGGUCAACUCGGAGGAAGGUGGGGACGACGUCAAGUCAUCAUGCCCCUUAUGUCUUGGGCUGCACACGUGCUACAAUGGCCGGUACAAUGAGCUGCGAUGCCGCGAGGCGGAGCGAAUCUCAAAAAGCCGGUCUCAGUUCGGAUUGGGGUCUGCAACUCGACCCCAUGAAGUCGGAGUUGCUAGUAAUCGCAGAUCAGCAUUGCUGCGGUGAAUACGUUCCCGGGCCUUGUACACACCGCCCGUCACGUCACGAAAGUCGGUAACACCCGAAGCCGGUGGCCCAACCCCUUGUGGAGGGAGCUGUCGAAAGGGG